CAAAUCAAACUCAGAAAACCCUAAAUUCCUAAAUUGAGAAACCCUAAUCCCCUUCUCUACACCAUACAGCCGCAACCUCACCCUCACCUUCCUUCAAUGUAACACUCACACAGCAGCGAAAUAGAGAGGAAAGAAAGAGGGAAGAGCUGCUGCCCCGCCACCGCCGUGACCGUCACACUGCCACCGUGCAACUCCGCUCGCGCUGCCGCGCGUUCCGUCACCAUCAGAGUCAUCGUCGCCGUUUGUGGAGCCGCGAGGAGCUCGCCAUCGAGCUGCUUCGCAGUGCCGUCCCAUCCAUAGAGCCCGAGCCCGCAUCGCCGUCGUUCAUUCGUGUUCUGCCGCCGCCGAUUCAUGAGUUUGUCGUCGUUGCUGACGUCGCCGAAAGGAGGAGAGCGAUCACCACGAGGAGCCGCCGCUGGAGGAGGAGGGUUCGCUGUGUGCUACUGUCACCAACAUCGCAAAAUCCACGCAGAAGAGAGGGAGGAAGGAUCUUCGCCGCUGUCAGGGUCGUGUGUGACUCCUACUGCCAUCAGAGUUGUUGUUCUGCCACCAUCAAGUUUGGAGGAGGGCGCUGUCCCUGUCACCAUUGAAGCUCGCCGGGGAAGGAGCUAUUGACAGAAGAAACUGUUGCCGCUCUUAUUCUAUACUACUCUAUGCUGCUCUGUUCUGCCUCUGCCUCUGGGUUCUGUGAGUUGUCGGAGCCCUCUACCACCGGGAACUAACAUUCGAGCAGCCCAGGAAGCCAUCCUUAGAACCACAACUGUUUUGAGAUUAUUGUAAAUUACCUUGCCGCCACCAUUACUGGAGGUAGCUGCCGGCUCUAUUUGGAGACUGCUUCUAAGACACCACCGAAGCUAAGAACAAGUGCUGGGAUUCGAUGGAGCAGCUGCGUUUAGUGAUUUUUGCGAGUUUCGACUUUGAGCAUUUCCAUUCCCUACUGAGAACGUGUGGUUUGUUCUCAC